CGCUAUCAUCAUUAACUUUAUUUAUUACCGUCAUUCAGUUUUGAAUGUCUGUUUACCCCCCUAUUAGGACCGAAUGCUCUGCAUUCGGUUUUUUUU
rnacentral:other from 1 species